AGCGAACGCUGGCGGCAGGCCUAACACAUGCAAGUCGAACGCCCCGCAAGGGGAGUGGCAGACGGGUGAGUAACGCGUGGGAACGUACCCUUCGGUUCGGAAUAACUCAGGGAAACUUGGGCUAAUACCGGAUACGUCCGUGAGGAGAAAGAUUCAUCGCCGAAGGAUCGGCCCGCGUAAGAUUAGCUAGUUGGUGAGGUAACGGCUCACCAAGGCUAUGAUCUUUAGCUGGUCUGAGAGGACGAUCAGCCACACUGGGACUGAGACACGGCCCAGACUCCUACGGGAGGCAGCAGUGGGGAAUAUUGGACAAUGGGCGUAAGCCUGAUCCAGCCAUGCCGCGUGAGUGAUGAAGGCCUUAGGGUUGUAAAGCUCUUUCGGCGGGGACGAUAAUGACGGUACCCGCAGAAGAAGCCCCGGCUAACUUCGUGCCAGCCGCCGCCGUAA
rnacentral:rRNA from 1 species